ACAUUACCGAAGAAUGAAGUGUCCUCAGUGCAGUUAUGUGUCUUUGGAAAAGGCACCAAACUUCUGCAGUCGGUGUGGCUGUAAGCUGUCAUGUCAAUCAAUUGAGACAACAGCAGACAAGCCACAAGACAAGUUUCAAACAUCCUCAAACAUUCCACACAGUACUGAUGCAGAAAUGACUGAUAUCAGACGUGAAUCAGAAGCAUUGGACUACCAGAAUGCCAAUCUAUCUCCAAAACGACAAAAUGAAGAUAAAAUCCCUAUCCCAAAGAAAAAGGUGCUGGACAUGAAAAUUAAUUAUAACAAUGAAAUAGUCCUGGAUUUUUAUUAUAUAUAUAUAUAUAUAUAUAUAUAUAUAUAUAUAUAUAUAUAUAUAUAUAUAUAUAUAUAUAUAUAUAUAUAUAUAUAUAUUUCACAUAAAAAAAUUAUAUAUAUAUUUUUAUGUGUAAUACUUAUUUUGAAAUUCUGUUGUAAUUUAUAAUGCAAAUUUUUUUUCUCAUCGUGCUUAUACAGAAAAGAAAGAAGAAGAAAAAAGCAGGUGGUGCAGAGGGCCCUUCAUCUCUGACCUCAGAUCUCUCUGAUAUAUCGCUGACUGAAAAAGAAAAGAAAAUGGAGGAAGACCAAUCUUCUGACAGUGAUGGCUCUUACUGCACUGUAGAUGACAUGCCUAAACCGGCUGAAUCAUCCUCUCAUCUGAGCCUACCAGAAACUGAAACUGCUGAGCUAAAACAGCAUGCUGUCUCGGCUUUACCCAUAGAUGCUGCUUUAAGUCAGUCUGAUGAGCAGCCUAAUAGUAGCAAAGAGAGAUGUGUAGCACCUGAAACGACAGAAACAUCUAAGUUGCAGUUGACCCAAGAGCUGAUCAGCAUUAGCACUGACAAAGCUUCUCCAGCAGUGACCAUGGAAGUAAAUCAGAAAGAUGAAGAAGAUAAAGAAAAAUCUGAAAAUAAAGGACAAAAGAGUGUGUCUAAAAGAAAACAAACUACUCUAGAUCGAGAUGGUGAUAUGGACCGGAAUGCAAACAUAAAGAGCAGCACAGGAAAUCAAAGAGAGACCGAUGAUCAUGUUGUGGGAGCACUGAACAACCACAGCUCCAGUGGAGAUUUACCAGUGAAGGUUGAGCAGAGUCAGAAGCUGCAGUCUGCAUGUACCGGCCAGAAGAAUACAGCAUCUGAAAAACAAAAUAAAAGUGAGGAAGCAGAAACCAGUGAAGGCAAACAGCAUGUCUCAUUUCCUACAACGAAAAAAAAUCAAAAUCAGAAACCGCAGAAUUCAACACAGGACAUGGUGUUUGGCCCACAGAAUAAACCUAAGAAGAAUCACGAUUCCAGUGGCGAUUCUUCAGUGAAGGUUGAACACAGUCAGAAGCCGCAGUCUGCUUGUACAGGCCAGAAGAAUACAGCAUCUGAGAAACAAAAUAAAAGUGAGGAAGCAGAAACCAGUGAAGGCAAACAGCAUGUCUCAUUUCCUAAAACAAAAAAGUAAGCAAAUGUUUUUAUGUAUUUUCAUAAAUGUUUCUUGUUUUUUUAAACCAGAUUUCUUAUGUAAUUUUAAUUGAAAUGUCAA
ensembl:lncRNA